rnacentral:lncRNA from 1 species
CAGGCCCCGGCGCCAUAAAACUAUUUGAGUAAAGUUUUUUUACUCAGCCUGAGAAUUUUCUCAAUUUUUUUAUUCUCAGCAAAAUGCACCGCCAUAAAAAAAUUCUCAGAUAUUUUCUUACUCAAAGUUAAGAAUAUUCUUAAAUAUUUGAGUAUAGCCAAAACCAUACUUAAGUAUAUAAAAAAAUCUUAAAUGUUUUUUUUUUAAGGUAAUUU